UACAGAGGUCCCGAGCGUUGUUCGGAUUCAUUGGGCGUAAAGGGUGCGUAGGCGGCGGGGCAGGUCUGAUGUGAAAUCCCGGGGCUCAACCCCGGAACUGCAUUGGAUACUGCCUUGCUAGAGUACUGGAGAGGGAACUGGAAUUUACGGUGUAGCAGUGAAAUGCGUAGAGAUCGUAAGGAAGGCCAGUGGCGAAGGCGGCCCCCUGGCUCGUACCUGACGCUCAGCCACGAAAGCAUGGGGA
rnacentral:rRNA from 1 species